GGCUCCGCCUUUCCCGCCGCCCGCGGAGCCCCCGCCCGCGGAGCCCCCGCCGCUCCUUCCCUUCGGGCGGCUCCUUUGGGCGCGGGAGGCUCCUGGCGGGGGCGGCGGAGCUUCGCCCGGGGAGCUGAAGGGGAGGCUCCGAAGGGAAGGCCUGCGUCCUCCCUUCCCCGGCUUCUCCUGCCAGGGAGACGCAGCACGCAGGCUCCGAAGACUUCCAGGCUCCCCCCGGGGGUCUUGGGCGACCCCUGGGAAAAGGCCCUUCCACCCCCAGGAGGAGAACCGCCGGGCCAGGAGCCAAGCAGCCGAAGGGAUCCCGGGAAGGGAUGGAGCUCAGCCCGAGGGGAUCCCGGGAGGCCAUUGGGAGACAAGGGAGCCAAGGAGGGACGGGGGAAUCCACUGGAAAGCCAGGGAUCCCAAGGGGGAUCGGGAUCCAGGUGGAAAGAAGCGGAUCCCAGGAGGGGAUCACCCCCACCCUUUCCUGCAGGGGGGGGAAAGGACCCCUCCUCCCUUUAGGGCUGAGCAGGGGGGAGACCAGCCGCGGGGGGGGGAGCUCUGGGCCCCCUGGAGAAGGAGCUGGAGAGGCUCAUGCAGUUGCUCUGCUUCGGUGGGUCCUCUGGACUGGAUUCCCUAGACCAGAUCCCCUGCGGUUGAGGAGGCCGUGGCCCUCUGGCCACAGGGACCCCCAACCCUGCAGCGGAGGAGACGCCAAGGCCCCCCAGCUCUGAACAAAGUCUGGCUAUGACCAAACAGGGGCCGGAGAAGGCGGGGUGGGAACAGGGGGCGCAAAUAAACUCUGUACAUGCUCAGAGGCUGCAGUGGCCUGUUUUCCACAAAGGACGGUUGGGGAUCCUGGGAAUGGUCAUCCCACGUGAAGCGUGUUCCGUGAAUGCAAGCUGCCAGCUGGCCUCUAAUUGAAAUGGGCCCAAUUGACUGUGGAAGGGUCAGGAGACCACAAAGAGAUCUCCAGUCUGCCUGGAAGAAGCAAAGGCGAACCGCUUCUACAUUGGGGCUUCAUAAAUCAGAAAUACACUUUGUAAGGUCUCUGUCUAACUGUGGCUCAGCCACCAUCUCCAAAGGAGAAGGUUGGACAGCAUCUCUUCAAUGAAGGAUGGAUUUAUCCUCCCCUGCCUCCAGCUCCCUAGACCCUCGCUGAUCACUCUGGCCACCCAAGUAAGACAGGGGGUCUAAUCCACAGGUGACUCAGCUAAGAGCUCAGAAGAUCCUCUCCGUUUCUCAGGAUCCAUAGAUUUAGACCGAUCCCAAGUACCUCCACCACACAAAGCCUCCCUCAUCUCAGCCAGAUUUGCCGAACUCAAGAUAGGGGCUACGAAGGUUCGCAUCUCCUUCAUGGUAGAAGGAAGGGGGGCACCGUUUUGAAAUAAAUAAAUAAUUGCUGCGGCCAAACUCCCCCUUUUCCUUUUGCCCUCCUACCUCCCUUCUGGCCCUUCCUGUCUACUAAAGCUCAAACGCCGUCCUUGUUUUCUUCCCAGCAGCUGGAGGAGGGAGGCUGCUGGUCCGAUUCUGGGCAGCCUCCCGGGGGAGACCACCAGUACCUCCUGGGCCCAUUGCCCACUUCGGAUCAGAGAAGCCCAAGGCCAUCCUUUGUCUCUGCACCUGAUCGGAAG